AUUGAACGCUGGCGGCAGGCCUAACACAUGCAAGUCGAGCGAGCGGCGGACGGGUGAGUAAUGUCUGGGAAACUGCCUGAUGGAGGGGGAUAACUACUGGAAACGGUAGCUAAUACCGCAUACCAUCAAAUGUGCCCAGAUGGGAUUAACUAGUAGGUGGGGUAACGGCUCACCUAGGCGACGAUCCCUAGCUGGUCUGAGAGGAUGACCAGCCACACUGGAAAUGAGAAACGGUCCAGACGCCUAUGGGAUGCAGCAGUGGGGAAUGUUGCACAAGGGGCGCAAGCCUGAUGAGGCCAUGCCGCGUGGGUGAAGAAGGCCUUCGGGUUUGAAAGCACUUUCAGCGGGGAGGCGUUACCCGCAGAAGAAGCACCGGCUAACUCCGUGCCAGCAGCCGCGGUAAUUC
rnacentral:rRNA from 1 species